rnacentral:lncRNA from 1 species
AUGAACGAAGUUUUCGUCAAACGUAGGUUAGGAAUAUACAUCUUAUGUAUAUGUAUAACCAUUAUAAUGCUGCAUUAUUUUUGUGUUUAAUAACGGAGCUACCGCUUUUUCCGUCUCGUCUAACUUAAUGCAUUAGAGAGAAAUCGAAAAACUGUGACGCACUGAAAAAUGAUCAUGAGAACAAGAAUAUAAUAUUUUUCUAACACCGUGUUGAAAAGUUCUCGUUCAUUACCUAUUAUAUGCAGCAUUUCUUCGUUUGAGGUAGGCGAUGUUCAUGAAAUCUUGAUAAUUCCCGUAAAAUCCACAUUUAGAAGGUCUCCGAUUUAUUUACGGUUAUUGUUUUAAGGGUCUUCGUUUCAUCUGCAUAGAGAAGAGGCGACUAGCCCUAGAAUUUUGAUAAAUUCGAUUUCGAGUUUUAUUCGACAAUCACAUAGAUUUUCUGGUCUGUUCUAUUAUUCUCGUAUUUCUAGAUCAGAAUUUAGACGGGUAUCGUUUCAACGUCCCAGGUACUUGUAACCUCCAAAAGGUUGUGUUCUAAAAUGAGCCCGUUUAUUGUGCACGGUUGAGGCAAAUUUUGUUUUUUUCGGAUUUACAUCACUUUCGGUAUAGGUAUAGUCUAUUAUACUAUAUAAUAGGUAUAAUAUGUAUAUUUACAUCACUGUCGCCGUUACGAAUUUUCGGCGUUACGAAUUGUCCGUUACCAUUUGUGUGGUUACGAACUGUCGCAUUACGAGAUGUCUUGUCACGAUUCUUAAGAUAUAUUCAAUCGAAUGGAGAUCUGCCUUGGGCUAUUGCCCUCUAACAACUUGUGUUAUUCAUCCUAAAGAUUUUCACUUACUGCAAUCCGAAGUAUAUACGCACAGGUCAAGUGUUAAGAAACUAGAUUACCGGAAACAUGCAGCAUUUAUAUACGGAACAUGUGUCACACACGAUGUAUGAAAAUAUUUCCUAUUCUGUACAUCAAGUUAAUUUUACAAAGCGUUAUCAAUAUCUUAUACAGGCUGUUUACUUUUUCAUUAGAUAUAAGACACUGAAAGAAGCGCUUAACUCGGCAACAUUACUGUAUACAAUUGUAUUUUAAUUGUUAAAGAUGUUCAACAUUUUUAUCUACUCUUUCCGAUAGUAACAGUAUGUUAUCACAAUAACUUUAUCAAUUUUUCUAUUUUCUUGAUUAUUAGUUUUUAUUGUAUAGUAUAUAAAUUAUUGUAAUCAAUGAGUACAUAGUUACUGAAAAAAUAAUCCUGUUAAUUAUAUUAAUGAAUAAUUUAAGCGAUUAUACAAGUAUCGAUUGCCCAAGAAUAUUCAAAAACUAAACGAAAUAGCCAUCUCUAUUUGGCUGGUGAAAUUGAUACUCGUCGCUGCAUAGCUUAGUGCUAUGUUGCCAUUUACAGGGGGUAUAUCUAAGUUAAAUCUAAACAAUCUGUAUAUACAUUACAUUUUGGUAAACUAUGUAAUAUACAAAAUGAGCUUAACACAAUGUAAAUAAUAAAAAUGAUAAAAAACUAAAUGAGUCGCUUUUUGCUGGCAAGUGUAUAUAUUAUUAAACAUUUAAAACCAUUGCAUAUUUGCUUAAGCACUUAACUUAUUUAUUUGCAUAUAACUGCAACGACACUGUAAAAUUUUUUUAGCAGGUUUACCCUCUUAUUUUACAUAAACUACCUUUAUAAAUACGAUAAUUUUACUGAAUUAUGAGCAAAAAUGUUGUAUAAGGACUUACUAUACGUAUAAUUUCAGUAGUAUUUUUACUGGUAAGGAUGGUAAAAAGAAAAUAUUAAGAAAAAAUUGUUGUUAGGAAUUUCAUUUAUCUUUAUUUCAGCUGUUUCACCCUCAAGAGCUUUUUUAAGAUCUCUUCCGAGUAGGCAUUAGAAAAAAUUGUCGACAACACGGAUCCCUGUCUCACUCCACGUCUGAUUUCAAUUUCCUCUGGGGAAAAUAUCAACGAGUAAAUUCAUGUAAUUUAAUUUGGUUAAAUUUGUGUGACAGGAAUAUUGAGUAGUACAUUUGCAGUUUUCUUAUAGUAAUUUUGCCGUACAAUUUCUUACCGUAUUUAAAUCGGCAGAUCUACUAAAAAAUUUUUACAGUGUACCUUGUGCGAUAUUAUCCGUAUGGAUGUGAAUCUCUUUACCCUCUUAAUAUAAACUUAAAUAUUACUACUGGAGUCUUAACACAUUCCCUGCCGUACGCCUAUCUCAAAAAGUAUCAUGUGACGCCGCACCACAAAAAUUGUUGAACUUUUGGGGGCCAUGUCAGACAGAUAUGUCUGAUGAACAUUUUUAAGGUGAGGCCAUGUCGGUCAUAUAUAACUGACACGAUAACUUUUGAAUGAUCUUCCAACUUCAUUAAAAAAUUAUGGCGCUCUAAGAAAAACUAUUUUUUAUAUAUCUUCUUUUUUUGGUGUGGCCUCCCAAGAAAUCUAUAGGAAAUGGCUGUAAUUCCUACAGAAAUAACGUUGUCCCUCAUAUACAGACCGUUUAGUUUUUGAUUAGAUGUAAGAGGCUGAAGGAAACGAUAAAAUCGGCAACAUUGCUGUAUACUAUAAUUAUUGUAUUUUAAUUGAUCAUUCCAGGUUCACGUGACUUUGACAGCGCCGCUGAGGGGCAAAUAUUGUGUUUUCAUUGCUAUUUUUGCUAUUUCCUCGUUUUAUUAUAAAAAGUCUGGGGUUUUAACUACAAAAAUUUCAAAUAUUGGAUAUUAUAACACCUCCACAGGGGAUGCAAAAACCCGGCAUAAUCAGAAAAUUCUUGACUAUCUUGACCCACAAUUCCCGUUGUUCUGUUGAGAGUGCAUUUAAAAUGACUCGAUCUUGAAAUGCGGCCGGUAUUCUAAAAAAAAA